rnacentral:lncRNA from 1 species
GAAGAUUUGGAGAUUUUUUUUUUUCCUUAUGAAUCUGUAUUGCAUACUCAAAUAUUUCAAUGCUGUUUAAGGUAUUUUUGCAUGUAAAUCAGUGUUUCAUAACAGUUGCUGUUAAUCAAGUAUAUAUUCUGAGAGGAAACAUCUUUACUUGGGUUUUUUUGUUGUUGUUGUUUCCCAGUUUGAAAAUGUGAUUUUCUUUUUCAGGAUUUAAAUUACUGAGGUUUCACUCUUCAGGUGCUUUUUCCUCAAUUUGGAUACUCUAAUACUAUCAUUUUCAAGACCAGAAAAUGCUCAUAACAGGAACAAUUGUUGAAGAAAAGACCCAGAAGAUGACGUGACUUCCCACUGCUUGAUAUAAAUCUUCUCUGAUACAAAAUGAGUUGAGCUGCAGUGAACUUAAAUGCUAAUGCUGAAGACAUCAAGUAACCUGCUGUUUAGUAUCAGAAAGUUUUAACUUUGGCUGACUCCAGCAUCUUCCUUGUUCCACGGGGCCUGCUUCUUCUGAAGACAGUAUAUUACUCAGCAAACAGAUUUUGUUUGUGCAAGAAACUUUCAUGCCAAUUGUCUUCAUGAGAAAAAAGACUGAUGACUUUACAGAAGUAAUGGGUCCUGUCUGGAAUACUAGGCACCACAGAUGGCCUCUUGAUCUGACCCAGAAGAGAAUGUUGCCUGAAUGGUGUUUGGGAGGUUCAUCACCUGUGCUGGGUCUGCUGUCUUGA